GUUUUAUAAAUGGGAGCUUCUCUGCACAAGCUCUCUCCUCUUGUUUGCUGCCAUGUGAGACAUGCCUUUCACCUUCGGCCGUGACUGUGAGGCCAUCCCAGCCACAUGGAACUGUGGAUCCACUCUGGAGCAUGCUCUACAGAGUCUUUUAUGGACCCAAGUGGAAGAAAAGAAGAACAACCCAGUUAUUCACAAAGAUAACUUGACUUUAGGCUCUACCAGGAACUACACCACUAGUUCUCAUGGUUUGGGGUUCUUCAGACUUGGAUUGGAAAUAUACCACCAGCUCUCCUUGGUCUCCAACUUGCCAAAUGAAGACCAUGGGACUUCUCAGCCUCAUCAUCAUGGAGAAAAAUAAAGCUGAAGUUUGAGCUUCCCACUCACCAUCAACAAACCUGUCAGCAUUUUCCAUCAACUAUGUGCCAUGAAUCCUUCCCUCUCUGCUAGACUUUUCCCCCAAGCAUUUUAAGAUAUUCAACUCUCUAAUUUUAUUCAUAAAAGAAAAACAAAGUUAAAUCUUCUCUAAGUCCACUUCUGCCUGCUGCGUAGUUCUUCUCCCUUCCUCCUCAGGCAAGUGUCUUUAAAAAGUAGUGCUCGCUUCCUAUUUAAUCCUGAAUUUCCUGUACUCAGACUUUGCUUCCAGCCUCCACAUAAAGUGUUCUUGGCAAAUGAUCUCACCAUCACCUGUGAUCCCUCCUUCACCUCAUUCAGACCUCUGCUGGCAUAUGACCUCUCCACAGAGCCCUUCCCCGUGUCCCUCUAUGUUCACUUGCCCUACUCUACUUUUCCUCAAAGUACCCAUCCUUCUCUAAAUUUGCAUGAUUUGGUAAUUUGUUCAAGUCUAGCUCCCCACCAGAAUAUGCACCCACAAAAGCAAGGACUUUGCCUUUCUCCUCUCUGUACUCCACCCAAGGUGUAGACAUCAGCAGACACUAAACAAACAUCUGUUGAAUUAUUUUUACUAAACCCAAUUAAAACGUUACAAUUUUGACUUACUUUGCUACAAAUUGAUAACCUGCUUCUUUUUAAACAUGCUUCUCUCAUAAUUUCAGUGAUGAUUAUUCUUUAAUGCCUUCUUUCCUUUAUUUUUGUUUCAUCCUUCCCAUCCUAAUGCAAGGAGAUUUCUUUUUUAACAUCCCUAAGGAAUGGUUUGGCCUUUGGUCCUCUUUGUUAGUCACUAUCUCCAAUCCCUUCCUGCAGUCUUACUUGCUUCCAUGGCUUCAGUUAUUAUGUACACAUUCUAUGACAACAUUAUUUAUUUAUAAAAAAUGUGGGUUGUUUACAUCUCUACCACAGAACUCUCUCUUUAAUUCCACAAGAAUGUCUUAGAUGGGCUACUGAUGCCUCCCCAUGGAGACAUAUGAAACUAAAGAAACACAUUUCCUCUACUCUUUGUUUCCUGGGUAUUCCCUAAACCUUUAAUUUAUAUUUAUUAAUUCAUUGAGCUACCCACUCCCUUAAACCUGCCUGACCUUCAAGCAUUAUGUGUUUUCAAUUCUGCCUCCUCGAUAGCUCACACAUGCAGUCAUUUUUUCUUUAUUUUUGCUGAACUAGUGUUACUUCAAGCUCUAAUUUUUUUCCUAGGUUCAUGCCACAGACUACUUUGUCUCCUUGCAUAUCGUCAUGCCUGAAACCCUAAUUAAUCCGCUCUUUUGGUUAUUAGAAUGACAAUUUAGAAAUUCAAGAAAGCAUAAUAUAAAAAGUCCAUGAUGGUAUUUUCUUUAGCUCCCCACACUGCUGUUGGCAAAUGCCCAGUGCCUGUUCCCAUCGCUGUUCCUCGAAACAUGCUGCUUCUACUUUCUGGAAUGCUUUCCCCCAUCCUUUCCUGUUGGCCUAACUUUUACUUAUCUUUUACAUCCUGGUUGAAAUGUCACUUCCUUCAGGUUUCCUCUUCUGAUGGCUACACCAACCUCCACAUUUAAACUUGCAUUUGGUGGCACUCCAAUGUGUUCCCAUAGCUUCCUGCUUUACUUGUCAUAGGUCCAUUUGUACUCAAAUUAAUAUUACUUUAAAAUUAUGAUUUGCUUGCCUGACAUCCUAUAUCAGUAAGGUAAUACUAGCUACAGAGAAAAUCAGCCACAAAUUUCAGUAUUUUAACACAAUAAAAGGAUUAUUUAUCCCUCA
rnacentral:lncRNA from 13 species